rnacentral:lncRNA from 1 species
UCAGGUGUUAUGACAAGAUAUUCACAACCAUUAACACUCUGCAAUAAAAAAAUACUUUACUAUAAUCAAGGAGUUCCUGUUCAGUUUACUGCGAUGGUCUUGCUGACGCAUAAAGUAGGAAUAUUACAUUUAUACCAAUACCAAUCACUAUGCCUAACUCUAGCCUUAUAAAAAGACAGCAUAAGAACGUGGCUACCGCUGGUAUUAGAUCAAUUUCUGGAAAAAAAAAAUGUACACAUCAAUUACACUUAUUUAUAUUUAUGUGCAAAAAAAUAAAUUGAAACAAUGAGACCAAUUUUACGAGCAACGUACUUUUUGUUCUCCAUAUUGGUUUGAUCACGUGUAAUUCCAC